rnacentral:rRNA from 1 species
GACGAACGCUGGCGGCGUGCUUAACACAUGCCAGUCGAACGGAAAGGCCCUGCUUUUGUGGGGUGCUCGAGUGGCGAACGGGUGAGUAACACGUGAGUAACCUGCCCUUGACUUUGGGAUAACUUCAGGAAACUGGGGCUAAUACCGGAUAGGAGCUCCUGCUGCAUGGUGGGGGUUGGAAAGUUUCGGCGGUUGGGGAUGGACUCGCGGCUUAUCAGCUUGUUGGUGGGGUGGUGGCUUACCAAGGCUUUGACGGGUAGCCGGCCUGAGAGGGUGACCGGCCACAUUGGGACGGAGAUACGGCCCAGACUCCUACGGGAGGCAGCAGUGGGGAAUAUUGCACAAUGGGCGGAAGCCUGAUGCAGCAACGCCGCGUGCGGGAUGACGGCCUUCGGGUUGUAAACCGCUUUCGCCUGUGACGAAGCGUGAGUGACGGUAAUGGGUAAAGAAGCACCGGCUAACUACGUG